rnacentral:rRNA from 1 species
AACGAACGCUGGCGGCAGGCCUAACACAUGCAAGUCGAACGCCCUAGCAAUAGGGAGUGGCAGACGGGUGAGUAACACGUGGGAACCUUCCCUAUAGUACGGAAUAGCCCAGGGAAACUUGGAGUAAUACCGUAUACGCCCGAGAGGGGAAAGAUUUAUCGCUAUAGGAUGGGCCCGCGUUGGAUUAGCUAGUUGGUGAGGUAACGGCUCACCAAGGCGACGAUCCAUAGCUGGUCUGAGAGGACGACCAGCCACACUGGGACUGAGACACGGCCCAGACUCCUACGGGAGGCAGCAGUGGGGAAUAUUGCGCAAUGGCCGAAAGGCUGACGCAGCGACGCCGCGUGGGGGAGGAAGGUCUUCGGGUUGUAAACCGCUUUAGUCCGGGAAAAAGGGCUGACGUGCUAAUACCGCGUUGGUUUGAUGGUACUGGAAGAAUAAGCACCGGCUAACUACGUG